rnacentral:rRNA from 1 species
GAUGAACGCUGGCGGCGUGCCUAAUACAUGCAAGUCGAGCGAAUGGAUUAAGAGCUUGCUCUUAUGAAGUUAGCGGCGGACGGGUGAGUAACACGUGAGUAACCUGCCCAUAAGACUGGGAUAACUCCGGGAAACCGGGGCGAAUACCGGAUAACAUUUUGAACCGCAUGGGUCGAAAUUGAAAGGCGGCUUCGGCUGUCACUUAUGGAUGGACCCGGGUCGCAUUAGCUAGUUGGUGAGGUAACGGCUCACCAAGGCAACGAUGCGGAGUCGACCUGAGAGGGUGAUCGGCCACACUGGGACUGAGACACGGCCCAGACUCCUACGGGAGGCAGCAGUAGGGAAUCUUCCGCAAUGGACGAAAGUCUGACGGAGCAACGCCGCGUGAGUGAUGAAGGCUUUCGGGUCGUAAAACUCUGUUGUUAGGGAAGAACAAGUGCUAGUUGAAUAAGCUGGCACCUUGACGGUACCUAACCAGAAAGCCACGGCUAACUACGUGCCAGCCGCCGCGGUAA